GCGGGAAGACGAACCAUGGAUAAGUGGUCCUAAGACACAGAAGUUAAAGCAAGGAACCUGUUGCUCUCAGACUAUCAACCUGAAUAAAUGAUGACUCUGUGGAAGAAGACAGCUACAAUAUGAAGCUGUCUGCCAUCGGAGAUUGCCUUCUUCCUGGGACCAUUUGUCCUUUGCCGGCAUCACUGGAAGAUGUAAUUUGCAUGCAUAAUAUUAAUUUUUAAAUGGCACGUCAUCAUUCUUAGCACUAUCGCAUUCUCUCCAACGAUGUACCUUUAGAUUUAUGCAGUCAAUUAACAUGAAUAAUCAAGGAAAUUGUAAGAGCCAGA
rnacentral:lncRNA from 1 species